AUUGAACGCUGGCGGCAUGCUUUACACAUGCAAGUCGAACGGCAGCGCGGGCUUCGGUCUGGCGGAGAGUGGCGAAGGGGUGGGUAAUGCAUCGGAACGUGCCCAGUUGUGGGGGCUAGCCCGGCGAAAGCCGGAUUAAUACCGCAAAAGCCCUGAGGGUGUAAGCGGGGGAGCGAAAGGCCUUGCGCUAUUGGACCAGCCGAUGUCGGAUUAGCUAGUUGGUGGGGUAAAGGCUUACCAAGGCGACGAUCCGUAGCUGGUCUGAGAGGACGACCAGCCACACUGGGACUGAGACACGGUCCAGACUCCUACGGGAGGCAGCAGUGGGGAAUAUUGGACAAUGGGGGCAAGCCUGAUCCAGCCAUGCCGCGUGCGUGAAGAAGGCCUUCGGGUUGUAAACCGCUUUUGUUCGGGAAGAAAUGCUCUGGGCUAAUACCCCGGGGGUAUGACGGUACCGAAAGAAUAAGCACCGGCUAACUUCGUG
rnacentral:rRNA from 1 species